UCGUGCUAGGCGGGGCUCUAGCGGUGCCCUGUACCCGCAAUCCGCUAUAGCGGGGCUGAAUGCCCGUCCGAGAACGGUCCAGACGGGACUGUGAACGCCAGGCGGCGUUGAGAGCCUGGUCCCAUGCGGCAACGUCCGGUGAACCCCGCCAGGGCCGGAAGGCAGCAACGGUAAGCCGACUUCGUUGGGCGCCAUGGGGUCGCCGGGCUUGAGCUGGCCAGCGGGAUCAAGCCGCCAGGACCGCCCGACGGCGGGGCACGG
rnacentral:SRP_RNA from 1 species